AAAGAGUAAUUUUAUGGUUCUUGAGGAGGUACCAUGAGGUAUCACUUUUUCUAUUGUUAAUUUGAUACCUUUAGGUAUCUAGGUACCAUGAGGUAUCAAAUUUUACACUAAACUUUUGUACCUCAUGCUAUCUACUCAAGAACCGUAGAAUUGCUCGCUA
rnacentral:misc_RNA from 1 species